AUUGAACGCUGGCGGCAUGCUUUACACAUGCAAGUCGAACGGUAACAGGGAGCUUGCUCCGCUGACGAGUGGCGAACGGGUGAGUAAUGCGUCGGAACGUGCCGAGUAGUGGGGGAUAACGCAUCGAAAGGUGUGCUAAUACCGCAUACGAACUGAGGUUGAAAGUGGGGGACCUUCGGGCCUCACGCUAUUCGAGCGGCCGACGUCUGAUUAGCUAGUUGGUGAGGUAAAGGCUCACCAAGGCGACGAUCAGUAGCGGGUCUGAGAGGAUGAUCGUCCACACUGGGACUGAGACACGGCCCAUACUCCUACGUGAGGCAGCAGUGGGGAAUUUUGGACAAUGGGCGCAGGCCAGAUCCAUCCAUGCCGCGUGUCUGAAGAAGGCCUCCGGGUUGUAAAGGACUUUUGUCCGGGAGCAAAUGCUGGUGGCUAACAUCCACCGGAGCUGAGAGUACCGGAAGAAUAAGCACCGGCUAACUACGUGCCAGCCGCCGCAGUAACAC
rnacentral:rRNA from 1 species